AUACGUAGGGGGCGAGCGUUGUCCGGAAUGAUUGGGCGUAAAGGGCGCGUAGGCGGCCCGGUAAGUCUGGAGUGAAAGUCCUGUUUUUAAGAUGGGAAUUGCUUUGGAUACUGUCGGGCUUGAGUGCAGGAGAGGUAAGUGGAAUUCCCAGUGUAGCGGUGAAAUGCGUAGAGAUUGGGAGGAACACCAGUGGCGAAGGCGACUUACUGGACUGUAACGGACGCUGAGGCGCGAAAGUGUGGGGAGCAAACAGGAUUAGAUACCCUGGUAGUCCACACUGUAAACGAUGAAUGCUAGGUGUAGGGGGUAUCGACCCCUUCUGUGCCGCAGUCAACACAAUAAGCAUUCCGCCUGGGGAGUACGGCCGCAAGGUUGAAACUCAAAGGAAUUGGCGGGG
rnacentral:rRNA from 1 species